UACAGAGGGGGCAAGCGUUGUUCGGAAUUACUGGGCGUAAAGCGCGUGUAGGGGGCAUGGCAAGUCGGGUGUGAAAGCCCUGGGCUCAACCUAGGAAGUGCACUCGAAACUGCCACGCUUGAGUCUUGGAGAGGAAGGCGGAAUUCCCGGUGUAGUGGUGAAAUGCGUAGAUAUCGGGAGGAACACCAGUGGCGAAGGCGGCUUCCUGGCCUGUUCUUGACGCUGAGGCGCGAAAGCUAGGGGAGCAAACGGG
rnacentral:rRNA from 1 species